rnacentral:sRNA from 1 species
AGAGUUUCCCAUUGAGAUGGAGAAAGUCGGACACAAGAAGUCAAACAAAUGAAGUUGAAGAGAUGGCUCAUAUACAUGAGAUGUGUCUUAUAACGUCCA